rnacentral:lncRNA from 1 species
GAUGGCCACCAAACCCCAAUGGAUGGCCACCAAACCCCAACAGAUGGCCACCAAAUCCCAAUGGAUGGCCACCAAACCUCAACAGAUGGCCACCAAACCCCAAUGGAUGGCCACCAAACCCCAACAGGCAGCCGCCAAACCCCGGCGCCGACACCCUGGGUGCCGGCGGCCCACCUUCUCCCCGGUCAUGGCGAAGGGAGCGUUGAACCACUGCUCGAAGGUGCUGCAGCUCUUGAAGAUGGUGGGCAGCAGGAAGUUGAGCAGCGCCCAGAGCUCGGGCAGCUUGUUCUGCAGCGGGGUGCCCGUCAGCAGCAGGCGGCGCGGCGCCACGUAGUGCGUGUUCAGCACCUGCGUCAGUUUGCAGUGGUGGUUCUUCAUCCGGUGGCCCUCGUCCACGAUCAUGUACUUCCAGCGGAUCUGCGGGGAGAGAGCGGCACCGGGGGACGUCAGGGCCCCCCCCCAAAAAAAAGGGGCUGGGAGUCACCCGAGGUCACGGGAUGGGAUUCCGAGCGGCUGCGCGGAACCUGCACCAAUCGGGAGGACCCGGCGGGGAGCCUACAACCACUUGGAGGACUCUGCAUAGAACCUACAUCCACUUGGAGGACUCUGCGCGGAACCUACACCCACUUGGAGGACUCUGCACGGAACCUACACCCACUUGGAGGACUCCACACGGAACUUACACCCACUUGGAGGACUCUGCCUGAAACCUACAAUCACUUGGAGGACUCUGCGUGGAACCUGCACCCACUUGGAGGACUCUGCACGGAACCUGCACCCACUUGGAGGACUCUGCGCAGAACCUACACCCACUUGGAGGACUCUGCGCGGAACCUAUACCCACUUGGAGGACUCUGCCUGGAACCUACACCCACUUGGAGGACUCUGCGUGGAACCUACACCCACUNCAAAGCCUUCAGCCGGAGCAAGGGGGGGUGGGGAGGGCGGGGGGGCUUUCCUCUGCACCUCCCGACCCCCAAAUCUCUGCAUUUAUCCCCAAAUCUCUGCACGUCCUGACCCCAAAUCUCCGCAACUCCCAACCUGAAAUCUCUGCACCUCAUCCCCAAAUCUCUGCUCCUCCUGACCCCAAAUCUCUGCAUUUAUCCCCAAAUCUCUGCUCCUCCUGACCCCCAAAUCUCUGCACUUCCUGACCCCAAAUCUCUGCACGUCCUGACCCCAAAUCUCUGCACCCCCCACCCCCCAAAUCUGUGCAACUCUCGACCCCCAAAUCUCUGCACCUCCUGACCCCAAGUCUCUGCACCCCCCACCCCCCAAAUCUGUGCAACUCCUGACCCCAAAUCUCUGCAUUUAUCCCCAAAUCUCUGCACCUCCUGACCCCCCAAUCUCUGCACUUCCUGAACCCAAAUCUCUGCACCUCCUGACCCCAAAUCUCUGCACCUCAUCCCCAAAUCUCUGCACGUCCUGACCCCAAGUCUCUGCACCCCCCACCCCCCAAAUCUCUCCAGUUCCCAACCCCAAAUCUCUGCACGCCCUGACCCCAAAUCUCUGCACCCCCCACCCCCCAAAUCUCUGCACCUCAUCCUCAAAUCUCUGCACCUCCUAACCCCAAAUCUCUGCCCCCCCACCCCCCAAAUCUCUGCACCCCGCACACCUUCCUUCCCAGCUGCUCUGCCUCUCGUGGGUUCAAGGCCGAGAAUUUUGUGGGCGUUCAGGAAAAAAAUCCACCACCGCCCCAACGGAUGGCCACCAAAACCCAGCAGAUGGCCACCAAAACCCAAAGGAUGGCCACCAGAUCCCAAUGGCCACCAAAUCCCAACGGAUGGCCACCAAAUCCCAAAGGAUGGCCACCAGAUCCCAAUGGAUGGCCACCAAACCCCAAUGGAUGAUGGCCACCGAAAACCCCAAAGGAUGGCCACCA